GUGCGACGGUUCCUUCCUGGCGCUGGCGGGCUAGGGCGCUGUCUGGUAAGGCAAGGCCACGGCCGCUCCGCUGCUGUCUCGCUGUCUCGACAGUAAGGAGAAGGCCUACCGCAGCUGCCGGCCCCACCAGGAGAGGUAGUUCCUGAGGAAGGAGCGGGAGGGGUGGUUCUGGCCGCUGUCCCGAGAGCUUCUCCAACUCUUUUUGUAGAGGAGCAACGCCGUUCACGAGAGACCACUACCUCUUCGUCCUCGCUUAGUUCUCGUUCAGGACGUUUAUCGUGAACUUUAAACGUUCCUCCCGCACGAAAGGGAGAAACAAGUCUUAGACGGAAGGAACCCAACCCCUCAUUCUUUUCUAAACCAAUAAACGACCACGUAAAACGAACCCGUCUUUCAACUACUCUUAAUAACGACACACUUCAUAUAACUUCUAGUGCACCUCGAAAAUCUAAAGGAUCAACAAACGAUGUUCUUCAGCCUGGAACGUGAUUUGACACCCUAAUACCACUCUCUUACGUAUUUUGUAGGUUGGGAACGGUUUAUAUAGAACCUUAGGUUAUCGAAACUCGACAAAAAGCUCAUACAACUCGACGGCUUGAAGCUGUAACGAAGACUACGAGAUUUGUGGAAGUUCCUAAACGAAUGGUUUGUACUUUGACAACAGAGACACAUGAACUCGAGGGUGAUGCUUGUCAAGAAACUUGCCAUGUGUUCCUAGAAUUGUAGUUGAUUGAUACAUUGUUCCGCAGUCAGCCACUUCAAGGAAAGUCUUAAAGAUAACCUCGGAAGUUUGAGAUUUUAUUACUUCGCUAUGUAAGUCCUUCAAGCAAAGGAUUUAUAAUACUAACCAGAUGACUUCUAGGAUAGAUAAACAUCCUCACAAUGAUGAUUGGCCGUAAAAAAAUCCUAAGUUCGUUUUUAUAGUUUUAUACGCGGAAGGUGCAAAAAUUCCACAAGCAACGGUUAGGUUUGUUCGGAGGACCAUAAUAACUUCGAAACGCUCUGUUAGCGUUCCUUAACAACUUUGAUGAGGUGUUAGAAGGACGUUCAUUUCCGCUUCUACUUGAACUGCUCCUCUCUCUGGACUAGUAAGUGGCUUAGCUCUUCAACAUUACGACUAGUGGAUAGUCUUCAAGACUGAACAAACCGUAUAGUCUUCAAGUCUUGUUUGGAUAGUUUUCAAGUCUUGGUUGUGGGACAUUCGGAGGUUCUCGACGCAGUUAAACCUCCUGUAACGUCAAGCCGCUUCCUACGUAGUUGCUUUGAACUCGGUUCUUAUAAUAACGGCCAUGUUAGGCCGGGUCAAAGACACUGAAAGGGAGGACCACUAGGGGGUUCACUAUUAAGUAGUUGUUCUUUCUUUUAGACUUCAAUGUCGUCUUGCCUCUCGGAUCGAGUUUUUAGCCAUUUAUUUUUUGUCGUGUGACCAUCGUCUCUUACCGAAACCUCUCCGCAUUAAGUCGAUCGAGGCAAGAACCGCGCGUGGGACCGCUAAGUCCACUAGUAGGGAGAUGAACCUACUCCGGUUCCGGAACGCCUGGGACCUCGAGUGGGACUAGAAGGGGAAACAGACGACGCGGAACAGGGGUCGGAAGCGCAGGCGACGGCCGGAAGGUCGGUACUGACGGCCGCCACCGUGGCCAUGGCCCUAGGGGGGACGGCGGAAGAGCCGUUGGAACGAGGACCAACGUCGCUGCCAUCCUCACGAGGGCUCCUGGACGGGUCCGAACGGUGGAGGGAACCGUCGUCGGCCAAAGACCCCGCGGCGACCGUGCUAGCGGCCACAGCGGCAUCCACGCCCUCGAAACGGACGACCUCUGCCGCGGCCACGUGCACGGCCGUUAUGUUGGCCACCGCCACGUGGUGGCACGCAGCACCGUCCGCGAGGGGGCCCAUGCGGCCAUCGCCGUCGAGGCGGCAGCACCCCAACCGGGCACUCCGCCGCUUCUCCGGGCUUCUGGCCGGCCCGCACCUUCCGAGAGACUUCGGACGAUGUCUACCAUCAGCCGCUGAACGGCAGCCGCCGGCCGAGGAACAACAAGUAGACGUAGUGACGACAUGCUUCCUGUCCUGUUUGAAGCCUACGUCG
rnacentral:rRNA from 1 species